UAACUUUUCCCCAAAAGUGCGCAGCUUUGGCUCAGACUGUGUGUUCGGGACGGUUCUGCUUCUUUGUGUGCUUCUGGACCUGAAGCUCGACUUUGCAGAAUGGAUCGGGACCGCGCAUUGACUCACUUUGCUGACUAAACUGAGUCUCUGAGAUCCCACUGAUGUCAUACUUGCGAUUCGCUGACAUACAGGAAGUGGUUACAAGAGUUUAGCCUCCAGUCUUCAAACCUCUUAGACAAACAGAGAAAGGAGUUGAAGGCCACUUCAGCCGCAGCUGGUCUCUGAAAAGCUCCGCUUCCAACAGCAGAUCCUCUCUAUGAA